GAUGUUAUAUGCAAGACCUAUGGAGAAAUUUCAUCAAAAAUCAAAUAUUAUAUGUGUUUUUGGAGCUUUGCAGGAAAUUCGGGACCGGCUGGAGGUUGAAGAAGAUCUCUAGCCGGGCCUGGCUUAUAAUGGGCGUAAGCCCAUUUUGUCUAUAUCCUUGGUUCUGGGCUCACGCCCAUGAACCAAGGAAAAGAAAAGGAUUCUGGGCGUGAGCCCAGAACCAUUAACGGAAUAAAGGUUCUGGGCUCUCGCCCAGAACCAGUAACAUAUUAAAAAACAAGGGACAUGGGCCUAUAGCCCAAUAUUUGGACAUUUUAAUUAAAAGAACCGUGGGCCAUUUUAAUUCGUGGCCUGCCCGUUCCAAGCGGCCCGCGUGGGCUCCUGCGGGUCGACGGGCCGGGCGAAGGUCAGGGCCCGCGGGUAGGGUCCGAAAUAUUAAAAUAAUAAAAAAAUUAAUUAUUUUUUUAAAAAAUAUUUGUGGCAAAAAUUGUUGUUUGAUAAAUGCAAUAUGAUCUUGGAAGCACAUGUUGUAAAGUGCUUCAUAUUGUUUGAUGAAUUUUGGGCAUAAAUUUUUGGAGUUCCUUAUUAAUAAUUUUUUGGAGUUCUAUAUUGAUAAAAAUUAGUAUAUACAAUUACUCACCCAAAAUGGGUUAUUGUGUAUAUUAAUUUGAAAAAUAACAUGAAGAUUAAUUCCCAUAUUUGAAAGAUGGGGAUAUAUAAAUGAAAAAUAUUUAUCUGCCCAAAGGGGAUAAAUAUUUUUAAAAUUAUAUGUAAUUCCCUUCUAUAUUGAUAUUAUAGAGAUGCAUGAUUGAAAUGAUUUGUCU
rnacentral:lncRNA from 1 species